UACGUAGGGUGCAAGCGUUAAUCGGAAUUACUGGGCGUAAAGCGUGCGCAGGCGGUUCGUUGUGUCGGCGGUGAAAGCCCCGGGCUCAACCUGGGAAUGGCCGUUGAAACUGGCGAACUGGAGUGUGGCAGAGGGGGGUAGAAUUCCACGUGUAGCAGUGAAAUGCGUAGAGAUCUGGAAGAACACCAAAGGCGAAGGCAGCGUCCUGGGAAGCAUCUGACGCUCAGGUGCGAAAGCUAGGGGAGCGAACGGG
rnacentral:rRNA from 1 species